rnacentral:lncRNA from 1 species
GCCUCCCGGAGGGUUUCGCUUUCGCUUUCCUGCCGAUGUCGUUGAGGAAAAUGAAAGCGGUCGUGGCCAGGACUGGCGCAGCUGCCGUUUCAGGCGAGGGGCGCAGAAUGCAGCGGCCGCCAGCCUGGAGCGCGGGCCCUGGGGCCGCAACCCGCGCCGGGCGAGGUGGCAGCACACCCUGGGCCCCCCACUCCCCGCCGCAAGUCCUGAGGAUGGCCAGCAGAGAAACAAGAAAAUGGACUCCCUGGCUGCUGGAGAGUUGAAUGCCAGCCACCAGCCAUGGAUCACCUCUGCAGCCUGCACAGCCGGGCCUUUGGACUCCUGGAUGCUAGAGUGACCUGGGCGCUGAGGAGGGCCCCCGAGCCAGUACCAGGAAAGGAUAGACUCCUGCUUGCAGCAUUCCCAGCAGAGGCAUCGCCUGUGGACACCGCGUCUGUGUCUGUAUAUGGCAGAGCUCCCAGAUAUAUGCACAAGGGAGUGAAAAAAUGUGUUUGCACCCCAGUCUCUAAAAAUUCAACAGCCUGGUUACUUCUGGGUGGUAUAUCGUAGGUGGCUUUAAUACGUGUUAUUUGCUCAUCUGUAUUUCUUACUCUUUGCACAAUUAAACCAUGUUCCUUUUACUUAUGUACAUUUUUAAUAAAAGAAAGUUGUUAAUGACUC